GCGCGCGCGGGGCCUCGCGCGGCGGCGGCGGCGCCUGAGGGCAGCGCCCGGGCCGCCCCCGCGGGUGUGCCCCGGGGCGAGCCCGCCCGCCGAGCUCUGCCCUGCUCUGCCCGCCCGGCCCGGCCCGAGCGCCCUUCCAGCCCGCCUCGGGCCCGCCCGCGCCUGCCCUGUCCAUCCGAGGCGGGUCGCGAGGAUGCGCCAGGGCCCGGAGCAUCUCCCUGCCCGGGAAGGGCUGAGGGAGCUGGGGCUGCUCAGGCUGGAGAGGAGCCCGGCUGAGAGGGCCCUCAGCCCUGGCUGUGCCUGUGUGCAGGGGCCAGAGCAGGCCCGGCUCUGCCCCAGGCCCAGCCAUGCCCCAGAGCCCCGGGCACGGCCUGAGCCCCGCAAUUCCCCUCACAGGAGGCAGAGCUGCUGCCCUGGGCAGUGCCAGCCCUGAGCAGAGCCCAGCCAGGCUCUGGGGUGUCAUUCCAGAGCAGCCUGGACUCGGUCCUGUGCCGUGUGCCCGGGUGGCCCUGCUGGGGCAGGGGGUGGCCCAGCUGAGCCAUCGGGUCCCUCCCUGCCCCGCUGGCUCCGGGGUUGUGCCCGUGGCAGCCUGGCCGGGCCCAGGGCCAGGGAGGGCAGGAGGCGUCGUGCGAGGCCAUGGCCGCGUGGCAGCCGCGCUGGGACAGCCUUUGCCAUGGGCUGGGACAGUGGCACUGCUCAGGGAGUUCUGUGAGGCCACACAGCAGCUGUGUGAUUUACAACUGCCACGUUCUGAAAUCCAAAUCCAACACAGAACCACAGAAUGUGCUGAGCUGGAAGGCGCCCACCAGGAACAUCGAGCCCAACUGCUGGCCCUGUACAGGAAUCCAUCCCUCCUGUGCCUGCACAUUUUGGGUGAACACCCUGAGGACAAGCCAGCUCCCAAAGGCAGGGCUGUGAUCUUCCUGUGAGCCCUGUGCGCGGGUGCUCACACACACCCCUGCAGAGCCACUGCACAUCCCAUUUUGCAGCAGGACCAUUGGAUCAGGACAAGACCCCACAUGCCAUUCUUCCUGGUGGAUCAUGACACUGCUCAAGAUCUCUUCAACAAGCAAGGAUGAGUUCUAAAAAGCCGUCUAGGAGUGAAAGGGAUGGAUGGCUUUUGUUACUGCAGAAAGACACGAGCACUUGGAGGAGGAAGUAAAGUGUAAUUCCCUCCAUCCUCAGUGUUCACACCCUUUCUGGUUCAGUGACACACUGGAGUUCACCUCACAAUGCUAGAAAGGAAACUGGAUUCCUUGCCUCAAGUAUAGAAGCAGAGAAAAGUUGUCACCAAUUCUUUAGAUUUCUGUAACCUAAGGAUCUCCUGCAUUUUGAGGUGACUGGUGUCCUGACAAUCUGUACAUGCUGUUUAUCACAAUUCACUGAAGUCGUGUUCAUGAAGAAUUUAGUGACAUUUUCUUGUGUCUCUGAGGCUGCCUUGGGACUUUCUGGCUCAGUGGGACAUAGAAAUCCCCUGCUUGUCACUGCAAGUCACACCUGGGUUUCACUGGGUGCUCCCAGGGCACCUUCACAUCAGUGGUCAUAAGAGUCAGGAAGCCACAAAAUCUUUUUACAUGGAAAAGUAAAUUUAAAAACCAGGAAAUACACAAAACUUCAAACCCAAAGCUGGUGCUUUGGUGUUAAAGAGCCCCUAGAACUGAGGUACUGUGAGAGUUCCCUGAGACACGUGUGGAAUCUGUCUCAAGGAAGGAAAGCAAAGAGAGCUGCUUUGGUUUUCCUAUAACAACAUAAUUUUGCCUUCCAAGAGUAGAUGUUUUUUUCUCUGAUGGCACAAUUAUUGAAGCAUGUUGGGAAACAUUUCAAAGCGUUGCUAAGCCAGGACCAUAUUCACAAACUCUCAAUUAACUUGAGCCAGUCUGCUCCUGCCUAAAAUACACAGCCCCAAACCUGAGCACCUUCCUAUUUCAACACUGUUUCAUUUGUGCCUUGCCACUGACCACUUUUUAGCCAUCACUUAAUCCAAAAUACAGCAACCCACAAUACAACCAGCCACAGACCUGCUCUAGGGGCUGGAUUUGGGCGAGCAGAAGUGCCUGAAGGUUGGAGGAGCUGGGUGUAGUGGGACAUGAUAAUGCAGCUGGAGAGAGCAAUGAUAUCUGAGAGCUGUUUAAGGGAGUGAACACAACACAAGGAUCUGUGCAAGGGACACAACAGCUCAAACACAGAGACUUGGAAUCCAGACAGAGAACUGAACAGGCUGCUGGGCAUCAUUCCCUGUCCUGAAUGCUGGGAGCAAGUGAAGUGUCAAUGAGAAAUCAUCUGGCAAGAGGAACAAGUGAAUCCCCAGCCCCCUGCUCGUGUGCCAGAGGGUCUCUCACAAUUCCAGCAGGUCAGGCCAAGACAGGGAAGAGCCAAGGACAAGAUGGGAAGAAGAUGCCCAGAAAGGCAGGCAGAGAGACUCAGCAAUGACUCUGCUGCCUUAGCAGAGUCACCUUGAUGAUCCCAGUGACAGUCCUGGCAACCCCACACAGCUGAUCUGCAGGAAAUGGGCAAAGUCACGGAGUAUGUGGCAGGGCAGGAUGGCACAAGUGGCACUUCCUGACCAGGAUGAAGAAUAGUUAAUAUCUCAUCUGAUGAGGGGACUCCAGUGUUACCCUUCAGCACAGAAAUUGAGCACUGAGCUGUUUCUGGGCUUCUGCCUUCCUUGCACAAGAGGUUCCCUCACUGGUCUCACAGGCUCUGUUCCCCGUGCUGGAGGACACUGCACACCUGGUGAAGCACAGCAGAACAGCAGAGGUGUGAGUGCAACUCUUCAGGUACAGCUUGUCUGAGUUCUCAUCAGCCAUUUAUUCCUUUUCAACUGGCACAGCUCAGUCUCAAUUCUCAACUUUGCUGAAGAAAUAUUUUUCCCUGGGAUGCUGUUCCACAAGCAAAAAAGGUGGGAGAAAAGAGCUGCUGUGUUGGGAGGAAAUGCUCUACCCUGUGUUGAUGGAGAAAUGCCACACAUGAAGUUUAGAGAGAGAAGUACAAGUACCACAAUUCUCUGACAAUUCAUAGCCCUGGAAACAAGGAUGAAGAACUGGCUCUGAGAUUCUCCUGCAGAGAGAUUCCCAGUGAAGCAUCUUUAAAGAUGCAGCAAGAGCAAUUCAGUGAAAUAAAAAAGGCAGCAGACUGCUGGAGAUAGAGAAUCUAACAAUUGCAUGGAGUUUUUUCAUUGACUGUAGACAGCACAUUCAAGGAGGUUAGAAGCAGAAAGUGUGAGAGCUGAAAAGUUGGAAAAUAACAAGGCAAUAGUUGACAGAGAACAAAUCUGAAAUAGAAUCAGGCUGCUGGAAAAAUGAAAUCAUUUGUAAAGACUUGAGUAGAGGUGUCUGUACAAUAGGAAGUAGGGAAGAAAAGGCCCAGAGCAGCUUUGUGGUGUAUUCUGACUUCUUUCCCUCCUUUGAAGAACCUUGUAAAAUUGUGUGCUGCUGAAGGAAUGGCAACAGGAAGAGGGGAAUAAAUAACUGCACUUCAGGUCUGGCAUUCACCUGACACAGCUGGAAAAACAGAACUCUACACAUGUAAUUUCUUGGUAUGAAUUUAAAAUCUUGGCUGCGUUUUGGAGUGACCCAGAAUCAGCAGUGUGUGUCCCUGGGGGAAGCAGAGUGCAGGCAGCCCAGCCUGGCCCGUACCUCUCCAAGGGUGAAUCCCAGCUGCCGAGCCCGCACGAUCAUCUCCAUCUGGAACACGUAUCCCUUGGAAACACACUUCUCCAUCAGCUGCUGCAAGACUUCUUUCCUGUACAACCUGUAAACAGUUCCACAGGAAAUAAAGCCUGAAGCCCAGUUUCUGGAAUUGAGAAAUCAGACAGUGUAGGAAUCUGAACUGCAAUCACUCGGCUCAUUACUAUUUAUAAACCCCUAACGAGGUCGUGGGAGCAGCAGUUCUUGCAAUCUAAUCCACUGCUUCUUCCACCCUUUCCAAACAGAUUUCCCAGUCCACAGUAAAGAACAUCUGUUCUUACUGCAGUUCCUUGUCCAGCAGUUUCUUAAUUUCCAAUAAACUUUAGGAAUUGCAAACCAGACCUUACCUGAAACUCCCUGUUAGAUCUGAUGCCCCUGGUCUCAGCAAGACCUGAGUCAGAAAAUUGGCUCCACGACUGUGAAAGAAAACAUCUAUGUCAGAGUUGUUUAGCACAAACGAUGGGCACUUACUCCAGCCAUGGAAAACCAGGAACAAUCCAACUCCAGCUCCAGAUCCGACUGCAACAGAGCUUGUGCUCCAGAUUCUUUGCAGGAUAAAUAAAUCAACAUGAACAUCUGCCUGUUCUCUGGGAGGGACAGGAGCAUUCCAGGUGUCCUCACACCUGCAGUCUCAGCUUGUUCCCUGCAUGGUGGACCUGGAUGUCUGUCCCAGCCUGAGGCCACUUCCAGCCCAUUUUCCCAGCCCACCCAGAUCAUUCCAGUCCUUCUUGGUGGAUUUGAACCAAAGGCCUGGCCAGUGCUGGGUGCUUCUGCCACUCAGUGGGACUCUGCAGUGUCACAGGCACAGCAGUUCUGGGGCUAAGAGUUCAGCUGCAGGGAUGGAGUACUUGGAAUUAUUAUGUACAAGUAACAGAUUUCUGUGUGAAGAGCUGAAAAGUACUAACCUGAUCAGCUUUCUUUUCAAAUCCCAGCCAUACACUCCUCCGUUUCCUUUAUAUCUUGUUCCAGAUACAAUAUCAAAAUUGCCUUCUUUCUGCUUUCUGUAGACAAUUGGUUUUAUCAGAAAAACUGGAGGAAUGUUUCAAACUCCAAAUUUCAAAGUAAGAACAAUCACUCUUUCAGUACCAAAUCUGUAUUUUACAAACUUGUGAACAAAUAAGAAGAGAGGAAAGCAAUAGUUAGGGUGGCUAUGAGCAUUAUUCAAACAUCUGAUAAUUGUUCUCUUAUAAAGAGCUACUUCAGGGAAUCUGAUCAUUAUCUUUUACCCACUAUGGCAUAGAAUUCCAUAGGCUGCCUCAUAAAUAAUUUAUAAAGAUCAACUUUCAUACUAUAAUCAGCACCUACCUGAUAAACUCUGGAAUAAAUUUUGGCUGAAAUGAAAGAAAGACAGAUCAGAAAACAGGGCAGGGGUAAAAUAACAGCAACCAGUGAGAAGUGAAUUUUAGAGCAGGCUGUAGCCAGAGCAGAUGAAACGCAGCCUUACGUGGUGGGAGAGGUCAGCAUCCAUAAUAACGAUGAAAUCCCCCGUGGCAUACUUCAUUCCAUGGAUGUAAGCAGUGCCUGGUGGCAACAGAAAUAACUGAUCUCACUCUUUCAGCACAGAAACGCACAGAGAAACUUCACUUGAGGACGGGCCACACCUUGAAAUGUCAUUUACACAGCUCCACCUGCACUCAGGAGCCACAUCUGGGCUGGGAAACGGUUCAGAAACACACUGGGAUUUUCAUGUGCAUUUCUAAAGCUUGUUUGUUUGCAAACAACCUGAUGAAAAUGUGUUUCUGCUUUUGGGCUUUACUGUGAUUUUCUCUGGACCUUUAUAUGCUGGGUCAAUCAAAGUAUACAGCAGAUUCUUUUAUUUGCUCUUACUAAUCAGAGUUAAUAAGGACUUACCCAGGCCCAGCUUCCUUGCUCUGGGUCUCAGAAGCUACAGGAGAUAUAAAAAACACAUAAAUUACUUGACAUACCAUUUUAAAAAAUACUCUAAAACUUCCUAUAUAUUUUUUCUUUAAAACAAUCUUCAUAUAUGCAACUUAGUCCAGAAAUACAUUAAAAAACUUGGCAUUUAUGCAGUAACAGAUUGGAAAAGUAUCUGACUGCCACCAAGUAAAUGACAGCAUCUUGUAUAAACCGAGGAUUAUGCAGUAAUAAAUUACAUAGAUAAAAAAAUAAAUAAAAAACUUCUGUUCUUGAGGAAUGCAACGAGACAGAUUAAAAAUAAAUCAUAAGCUCAGCCCAGCUUUCAUCUUUCCAAUUUCCUUACUCCUGCAGUCAAUUAAAAUGGAAUUAGUUCUUAUCCAAACCCCAUCUUUCCCUCAGACCUGCACCAAGUGCAGCAAGACUCAGCAGUCAUUGCUCAGGAGCACACAGCAACGCACCAAGGACUGAGAACGCUUUAAAACAACCCAUGAUCUUGCAUUUUGGUCAGAAUGCAGCAUUAUGGACUGUCCUGAGCUUACACUCGGCUAAAGUGGUGUACAAUGUACAACAACUUGUUUAAGGAUGUGAAGAAAGGGCAGAAUCCAGGGAAUCCAUCCCAGCUCUCAAGGACUUACAGUACUUUCCAAUAAAAAAAAAAAAUAAAAAAAA